UGUAAAGUUGCACUUUUCCUUUCCACUACAUUGGUUCCAUUGCACCAGGCAACUGCUGAAAUAUGGAUUCCCAGUAUGUCUACUCUGCAUACUCUGGAUAAGGGGUUAAGGUAUGGCUGGGCUUCAGCCUGGAGGAUAGUACUGGGGUUAAGGUAUGGCUGGGCUGUGGCUUCAGCCUGGAGGAUAGUACUGGGGUUAAGGUAUGGCUGGGCUUCAGCCUGGAGGAUAGUACUGGGGUUAAGGAAUGGCUGGGCUAUGGCUUCAGCCUGGAGGAUAGUACUGGGGUUAAGGUAUGGCUGGGCUGUGGCUUCAGCCUGGAGGAUAGUACUGGGGUUAAGGUAUGGCUGGGCUGUGGCUUCAGCCUGGAGGAUAGUACUGGGGUUAAGGUAUGGCUGGGCUUCAGCCUGGAGGAUAGUACUGGGGUUAAGGAAUGGCUGGGCUAUGGCUUCAGCCUGGAGGAUAGUACUGGGGUUAAGGAAUGGCUGGGCUUCAGCCUGGAGGAUAGUACUGGGGUUAAGGUAUGGCUGGGCUUCAGCCUGGAGGAUAGUACUGGGGUUAAGGUAUGGCUGGGCUUCAGCCUGGAGGAUAGUACUGGGGUUAAGGAAUGGCUGGGCUGUGGCUUCAGCCUGGAGGACAGUACUGGGG